GACGAACGCUGGCGGCGUGCUUAACACAUGCAAGUCGAACGUGAUUUUUGUGGAAAUUCUUUCGGGAAUGGAAAUGAAAUGAAAGUGGCGAACGGGUGAGUAACACGUGAGCAACCUACCUUACACAGGGGGAUAGCCGUUGGAAACGACGAUUAAUACCGCAUGAGACCACAGAAUCGCAUGAUAUAGGGGUCAAAGAUUUAUCGGUGUAAGAAGGGCUCGCGUCUGAUUAGCUAGUUGGAAGGGUAAAGGCCUACCAAGGCGACGAUCAGUAGCCGGUCUGAGAGGAUGAACGGCCACAUUGGAACUGAGACACGGUCCAAACUCCUACGGGAGGCAGCAGUGGGGAAUAUUGCACAAUGGGGGGAACCCUGAUGCAGCGACGCCGCGUGAGCGAAGAAGGUUUUCGAAUCGUAAAGCUCUGUCCUAUGAGAAGAU
rnacentral:rRNA from 1 species